rnacentral:rRNA from 1 species
AGCGAACAGAUAAGGAGCUUGCUCCUUUGACGUUAGCGGCGGACGGGUGAGUAACACGUGGAUAACCUACCUAUAAGACUGGGAUAACUUCGGGAAACCGGAGCUAAUACCGGAUAACAUAUUGAACCGCAUGGUUCAAUAGUGAAAGGCGGCUUUGCUGUCACUUAUAGAUGGAUCCGCGCCGUAUUAGCUAGUUGGUAAGGUAACGGCUUACCAAGGCAACGAUACGUAGCCGACCUGAGAGGGUGAUCGGCCACACUGGAACUGAGACACGGUCCAGACUCCUACGGGAGGCAGCAGUAGGGAAUCUUCCGCAAUGGGCGAAAGCCUGACGGAGCAACGCCGCGUGAGUGAUGAAGGUCUUCGGAUCGUAAAACUCUGUUAUCAGGGAAGAACAAAUGUGUAAGUAACUGUGCACAUCUUGACGGUACCUGAUCAGAAAGCCACGGCUAACUACGUGCCAGCAGCCGCGGUAAUACGUAGGUGGCAAGCGUUAUCCGGAAUUAUUGGGCGUAAAGCGCGCGUAGGCGGUUUUUUAAGUCUGAUGUGAAAGCCCACGGCUCAACCGUGGAGGGUCAUUGGAAACUGGAAAACUUGAGUGCAGAAGAGGAAAGUGGAAUUCCAUGUGUAGCGGUGAAAUGCGCAGAGAUAUGGAGGAACACCAGUGGCGAAGGCGACUUUCUGGUCUGUAACUGACGCUGAUGUGCGAAAGCGUGGGGAUCAAACAGGAUUAGAUACCCUGGUAGUCCACGCCGUAAACGAUGAGUGCUAAGUGUUAGGGGGUUUCCGCCCCUUAGUGCUGCAGCUAAC